rnacentral:tRNA from 1 species
GGCGAGUUACCCAAGCGGCCAAAGGGAUCUGACUGUAAAUCAGACUGCUCAGCAUUCGGAAUCCCUCACUCGCCACCA